rnacentral:misc_RNA from 1 species
GCGGCCUUCCUUCCUCAGAAAUAGGUCCUCUUCUGCUCUCAGGUUCUGGAGUCGUUUGUUUCAGCAACCAUGUCUGCUUCAAUCUCUUCUUCUGUCCGCUUAUUCGCCACCAGAGUUUCAAUAUCUACUUAUUCAACAAAACCCCUAAUGUCUACUGUGAAACCCGUAAAUCUAUCUUUCUAUGUUUUCUCUAGGCCCAUUUCUUUCGAAAAAAUCCCAACAAAAAAGCCAUCACCAGCCUUUGUAUCAGUAUCAAGAGCUGCUUCUCUCCAACCCAUUGAAGAACUCCCUCCAAAGCUUCAAGAAAUUGUCAAGCUCUUCCAGUCUGUUGAGGAACCCAAGGCUAAAUACGAGCAGCUCCUUUUUUAUGGCAAAAACUUGAAACCACUCGAUGCCCAAUUUAAAACGAAAGAGAACAAAGUAGAGGGUUGUGUAUCUCAAGUUUGGGUCCGGGCAUGUUUAGAUAUCGAUAAGAAUGUUGUAUUUGAGGCUGAUUCGGAUUCGGUUCUGACAAAGGGGCUUGCAGCUUUGCUUGUUCAAGGGCUGUCGGGGCGGCCCGUGGAUGAGGUUUUGAGGGUUUCGCCAGAUUUUGUGGUGCUUCUUGGGUUGCAACAGAGUUUGACCCCUUCGAGGAAUAAUGGGUUCUUGAAUAUGUUGAAAUUGAUGCAAAAGAAGGCACUUGAGUUGUAUUUGGAGGCUGAGAAGUGUAGUGGGCUGGGUUAUGGGUCGAAUUCUGGGAAUGUUGGCAGUGAAAAUUUAAGUGAUGGAUUGAGUAAUAAAAGGGAGAGUAUUGAGAAUGAAGUAAAAGGUUCAAAUAGUGAUGGUGGUGUUGAGAAUUCGAGCACUGGAAUGAAUUCGAAUGAAAAUUUUGUUUCGAGUUCAGAAUCGAAAGUUGGUGAUGGUGGUGGUGGCGGCAGCAAGGAUUCAGAUAAUUUAGGGAGUAGAGGAAAAAGAAUUAAGGAGAUAUUGGAGAGAGAGUUAACUCCCAUUGAGUUAGAAGUGGAGGAUAUCUCUUAUCAGCAUGCAGGGCAUGCUGGUGUGGGAGGAAGUGAUGGUGAAACACAUUUUAAUUUGAAAGUUGUAUCAAAAGAAUUUGAAGGGAAGAGCUUGGUGAAGAGGCAUAGGCUCAUUUAUGGUUUGUUGCAAGAAGAAUUACAGAGUGGCUUGCAUGCACUGUCAAUUGUGGCAAAGACACCGGCUGAAGUUGAUGCAAGAUAAGGGUGCCAAGGAUUUACGGCUGAUAGGUGCCACAAGAAGUUGUGAGAGUGAAGAUUCUAUUUUAUGUAUGGGAUCCUUGUAUUUUUGACUGCUUCAAAGAUGAAGCUCUGAAUCUUUUGACAAGUGUGUGCAAGCAAGAGUUGAGUGUAGAUGUGCUGGAAUCAAUUGGAAGGUAUUGCCCAGGUAAAAAGAACUUGUGAACGUGCUAGUAAAACAUUAUAAUCUGAUGGUUAGUCUAUUUGAAUAUGACAUUCUAGAUACUGUAGGAUUUGUAGCUAUUCCAAGAUGUCUUCUAUAUACAUGUUGUUGACAUAUGAUGUACUUUUGACAUGGAACUAUCACUGAAUCAUCAGUGCCAUCUGCUUGAAAAUGUCUUUUAAGCAUUGCUAUUGUUGGAUCACAAGUGUGAUUUCAUGGG